UACGGGGGGAGCAAGCGUUGUUCGGAUUUACUGGGCGUAAAGGGCGCGUAGGCGGUCAGCACAAGUCAGUUGUGAAAUCUCCGGGCUUAACUCGGAAAGGUCAACUGAUACUGUGCGACUAGAGUGCAGAAGGGGCAACUGGAAUUCUCGGUGUAGCGGUGAAAUGCGUAGAUAUCGUCUGGAACGCCAAUGGUGAAGACAGGUUGCUGGGGGUAUUCUGACGCUGAGACACGAAAGCCAGGGGAGCAAACGGG
rnacentral:rRNA from 1 species